rnacentral:rRNA from 1 species
AAAUGCUGACAUGAGUAACGAUAAAGGGAGUGAGAGACUCCCUCGCCGAAAGUCCAAGGGUUCCUGCUUAAAGUUAAUCUGAGCAGGGUUAGCCGGCCCCUAAGGCGAGGCCGAAAGGCGUAGUCGAUGGGAACCACGUUAAUAUUCGUGGGCCUGCGGGUAGUGACGGAUCGCGUAGACUGUUCCUCCUUAUUGGAUUGGAGGGGCUUUUGAGCGGUUCCAGGAAAUAGCUCCCGCGUAUAGACCGUACCCUAAACCGACACUGGUGGACUGGUAGAGCAUACCAAGGCGCUUGAGAGAACUGCGUUGAAGGAACUCGGCAAAUUGCACGCGUAACUUCGGAAGAAGCGUGACCCUUUUUGACGCAAGUCAAGGAGGGUGGCACAGACCAGGGGGUAGCGACUGUUUACCAAAAACACAGGGCUCUGCGAAGUCGCAAGACGACGUAUAGGGUCUGACGCCUGCCCGGUGCUGGAAGGUUAAGAGGAGAGGUGCAAGCUUUGAAUCGAAGCCCCAGUAAACGGCGGCCGUAACAAUAACGGUCCUAAGGUAGCGAAAUUCCUUGUCGGGUAAGUUCCGACCUGCACGAAUGGCGUAACGACUUCCCCGCUGUCUCCAACGCAGACUCAGUGAAAUUGAAUUCCCCGUGAAGAUGCGGGGUUCCUGCGGUUAGACGGAAAGACCCCGUGCACCUUUACUAUAGCUUUACACUGGCAUUCGUGUCGGCAUGUGUAGGAUAGGUGGUAGACUUUGAAGCGGGGGCGCCAGCCUUCGUGGAGUCAUCCUUGAAAUACCACCCUUACCUAUAUGGAUGUCUAACCGCGGUCCGUUAUCCGGAUCCGGGACAGUGUAUGGUGGGUAGUUUGACUGGGGCGGUCGCCUCCUAAAGAGUAACGGAGGCGCGCGAUGGUGGGCUCAGACCGGUCGGAAAUCGGUCGUCGAGUGCAAUGGCAUAAGCCCGCCUGACUGCGAGACUGACAAGUCGAGCAGAGACGAAAGUCGGUCAUAGUGAUCCGGUGGUCCCGCGUGGAAGGGCCAUCGCUCAACGGAUAAAAGGUACGCCGGGGAUAACAGGCUGAUGACCCCCAAGAGUCCAUAUCGACGGGGUUGUUUGGCACCUCGAUGUCGACUCAUCGCAUCCUGGGGCUGGAGCAGGUCCCAAGGGUAUGGCUGUUCGCCAUUUAAAGCGGUACGUGAGUUGGGUUCAGAACGUCGUGAGACAGUUCGGUCCCUAUCUGCCGUGGGUGUAGGAAUAUUGACAGGAUCUGUCCCUAGUACGAGAGGACCGGGAUGGACGUAUCUCUGGUGGACCUGUUGUGGCGCCAGCCGCAUAGCAGGGUAGCUAUAUACGGACGGGAUAACCGCUGAAGGCAUCUAAGCGGGAAACCCACCUGAAAACGAGUAUUCCC